CCUACGGGGAGCAGCAGUAGGGAAUAUUGCACAAUGGGGGAAACCCUGAUGCAGCAACGCCGCGUGGAGGAAGAAGGUUCUCGGUAUGUAAACCUCUUUUGUUAGAGAAGAUAAUGACGGUAUCUAACGAAUAAGCACCGGCUAACUCCGUGCCAGCAGCCGCGGUAAUACGGAGGGUGCAAGCGUUACCCGGAUUUACUGGGCGUAAAGAGAGCGUAGGCGGGAUAAUAAGUCAGAUGUGAAAUCCUGUAGCUUAACUACAGAACUGCAUUUGAAACUGUUAGUCUGGAGUGUAGGAGAGGUAGGUGGAAUUCUUGGUGUAGGGGUAAAAUGCGUAGAGAUCAGGAGGAAUACUGAUGGCGAAGGCGACCUGCUGGAACAUUACUGACGCUGAUGCACGAAAGCGUGGGGAGCAAACAGGAUUAGAUACCCGAGUAGUC
rnacentral:rRNA from 1 species